rnacentral:rRNA from 1 species
ACGGGAGGCAGCAGUGGGGAAUAUUGCACAAUGGAGGGAACUCUGAUGCAGCAACGCCGCGUGAGUGAAGAAGGUCUUCGGAUCGUAAAACUCUGUCCUUAGGGACGAAGAAAGUGACGGUACCUAAGGAGGAAGCCCCGGCUAACUACGUGCCAGCAGCCGCGGUAAUACGUAGGGGGCGAGCGUUAUCCGGAAUUAUUGGGCGUAAAGAGUACGUAGGUGGUUUUGUAAGCGUAAGGUGAAAGCCCGGGGCUUAACUCCGGCGAGCCUUACGAACUGCAAGACUUGAGUGCAGGAGGGGAAGGUGGAAUUCCUAGUGUAGCGGUGAAAUGCGUAGAUAUUAGGAAGAACACCGGUGGCGAAGGCGGCUUGCUGGACAGAGACUGACGCUGAGGCUCGAAAGCGUGGGGAGCAAACAGGAUUAGAUACCCUGGUA